rnacentral:rRNA from 1 species
AAUCAACGCUGGCGGCGUGCCUCAGACAUGCAAGUCGAACGAUUAAAGCUCUCUUCGGAGAGUGCAUAGAGUGGCGCACGGGUGAGUAACACGUAAGUAAUCUACCUUCGAGUGGGGAAUAACAUCGGGAAACCGAUGCUAAUACCGCAUAAUGCAGCGGCAUCGCAAGAUGACAGUUGUUAAAGGAAUUUAUUUCGCUUGAAGAGGAGCUUGCGGCAGAUUAGCUAGUUGGUAAGGUAAUGGCUUACCAAGGCUACGAUCUGUAACCGGUCUAAGAGGACGGUCGGUCACACUGACACUGAAUAACGGGUCAGACUCCUACGGGAGGCAGCAGUCGGGAAUUUUGGGCAAUGGGCGAAAGCCUGACCCAGCAACGCCGCGUGAAGGAUGAAGUAUUUCGGUAUGUAAACUUCGAAAGAAUAGGAAGAAUAAAUGACGGUACUAUUUAUAA